rnacentral:rRNA from 1 species
UGGCGGCGUGCCUAAUACAUGCAAGUCGAGCGGAUCUUCAUUAGCUUGCUUUUGAAGAUCAGCGGCGGACGGGUGAGUAACACGUGGGCAACCUGCCUGUAAGACUGGGAUAACUUCGGGAAACCGGAGCUAAUACCGGAUAAUCCUUUCCCUCUCAUGAGGGAAAGCUGAAAGACGGUUUCGGCUGUCACUUACAGAUGGGCCCGCGGCGCAUUAGCUAGUUGGUGAGGUAACGGCUCACCAAGGCAACGAUGCGUAGCCGACCUGAGAGGGUGAUCGGCCACACUGGGACUGAGACACGGCCCAGACUCCUACGGGAGGCAGCAGUAGGGAAUCUUCCGCAAUGGACGAAAGUCUGACGGAGCAACGCCGCGUGAACGAUGAAGGCUUUCGGGUCGUAAAGUUCUGUUGUCAGGGAAGAACAAGUACCGGAGUAACUGCCGGUACCUUGACGGUACCUGACCAGAAAGCCACGGCUAACUUACGUGCCAGCAGCCGCGGUAAUACGUAGGUGGCAAGCGUUGUCCGGAAUUAUUGGGCGUAAAGCGCGCGCAGGCGGUUCCUUAAGUCUGAUGUGAAAGCCCCCGGCUCAACCGGGGAGGGUCAUUGGAAACUGGGGAACUUGAGUGCAGAAGAGGAGAGCGGAAUUCCACGUGUAGCGGUGAAAUGCGUAGAGAUGUGGAGGAACACCAGUGGCGAAGGCGGCUCUCUGGUCUGUAACUGACGCUGAGGCGCGAAAGCGUGGGGAGCGAACAGGAUUAGAUACCCUGGUAGUCCACGCCGUAAACGAUGAGUGCUAAGUGUUAGAGGGUUUCCGCCCUUUAGUGCUGCAGCAAACGCAUUAAGCAUCUCCGCCUGGGGAAGGAC